CCGGCGCACGGGUGCGUAACGCGUAUGCAACCUACCCUUUAAGGGGCGAUAACACUGAGAAAUUGGUACUAAUACCCCAUAAUAUCAUAGAAGGCAUCUUUUAUGGUUGAAAAUUCCGAUGGUUAGAGAUGGGCAUGCGUUGUAUUAGCUAGUUGGUGGGGUAACGGCUCACCAAGGCGACGAUACAUAGGGGGACUGAGAGGUUAACCCCCCACACUGGUACUGAGACACGGACCAG
rnacentral:rRNA from 1 species